UAGGGAAUCUUCGGCAAUGGACGAAAGUCUGACCGAGCAACGCCGCGUGAGUGAAGAAGGUUUUCGGAUCGUAAAGCUCUGUUGUAAGUCAAGAACGUGUGUGAGAGUGGAAAGUUCACACAGUGACGGUAGCUUACCAGAAAGGGACGGCUAACUACGUGCCAGCAGCCGCGGUAAUACGUAGGUCCCGAGCGUUGUCCGGAUUUAUUGGGCGUAAAGGGAGCGCAGGCGGUCAGGAAAGUCUGGAGUAAAAGGCUAUGGCUCAACCAUAGUGUGCUCUGGAAACUGUCUGACUUGAGUGCAGAAGGGGAGAGUGGAAUUCCAUGUGUAGCGGUGAAAUGCGUAGAUAUAUGGAGGAACACCAGUGGCGAAAGCGGCUCUCUGGUCUGUCACUGACGCUGAGGCUCGAAAGCGUGGGUAGCGAACAGGAUUAGAUACCCUGGUAGUCCACGCCGUAAACGAUGAGUGCUAGGUGUUAGGCCCUUUCCGGGGCUUAGUGCCGGAGCUAACGCAAUAAGCACUCCGCCUGGGGAGUACGACCGCAAGGUU
rnacentral:rRNA from 1 species